rnacentral:sRNA from 1 species
UUUUUGAAGACACCCACCAUCACCAAACUUCAAAGGCCUGGAUGCAUUCCGGGCCUUU